rnacentral:tRNA from 1 species
UGGGGGCUGGCUCAGCGGUAGAGCACAGGAACUGUAUGCCUGAGGACCCAGGUUCAAUCCCAGGUCUCCCAU